rnacentral:rRNA from 1 species
AGCUCCAAUAGCGUAUAUUUAAGUUGUUGCAGUUAAAAAGCUCGUAGUCGGAUUUUGGCUGAGAACGGUCGGUCCGCCGUUAGGUGUGCACUGACUGGUCUCAGCUUCCUGGUGAGGAGGUGUGCUUCAUCGCCACUUAGUCACCGUGGUUACUUUGAAAAAAUUAGAGUGUUCAAAGCGGGCUUACGCUUGAAUAUAUUAGCAUGGAAUAACACCAUAGGACUCCUGUCCUAUUUCGUUGGUCUCGGGACGGGAGUAAUGAUUAAGAGGAACAGUUGGGGGCAUUCGUAUUUCAUUGUCAGAGGUGAAAUUCUUGGAUUUAUGAAAGACGAACUUCUGCGAAAGCAUUUGCCAAGGAUGUUUUCAUUG